AGCUACAAUAAUUUAAAGUCAAUACAUUUUUAUUCAAGGAAUUCCAUGUUGUGAUUUCUUCCACUGUCCAUCAAGGUCACUUUAGAUCCUCUAAAGAGCUGGAGUGAAAAUAUUUACCUUCAAGUUAGUCCUUUUUAAUGAAACUGAUGCUUAUUUUAAUCCAGUUGUCCUGUCAGCCCAUAAUUAUUUUAUUUUGGUUUCUGCCAUCUCGUUUUAAUAUAGAUAUACUGAUGAAGACUUCAAAAUUCACCAAGAAUCUUUGGCAUCUAAUUUCUUUAACAAAUUUACUUUAG